rnacentral:rRNA from 1 species
GUCGAGCGGAUGAAGGGAGCUUGCUCCUGGAUUCAGCGGCGGACGGGUGAGUAAUGCCUAGGAAUCUGCCUGGUAGUGGGGGAUAACGUCCGGAAACGGGCGCUAAUACCGCAUACGUCCUGAGGGAGAAAGUGGGGGAUCUUCGGACCUCACGCUAUCAGAUGAGCCUAGGUCGGAUUAGCUAGUUGGUGGGGUAAAGGCCUACCAAGGCGACGAUCCGUAACUGGUCUGAGAGGAUGAUCAGUCACACUGGAACUGAGACACGGUCCAGACUCCUACGGGAGGCAGCAGUGGGGAAUAUUGGACAAUGGGCGAAAGCCUGAUCCAGCCAUGCCGCGUGUGUGAAGAAGGUCUUCGGAUUGUAAAGCACUUUAAGUUGGGAGGAAGGGCAGUAAGUUAAUACCUUGCUGUUUUGACGUUACCAACAGAAUAAGCACCGGCUAACUUCGUGCCAGCAGCCGCGGUAAUACGAAGGGUGCAAGCGUUAAUCGGAAUUACUGGGCGUAAAGCGCGCGUAGGUGGUUCAGCAAGUUGGAUGUGAAAUCCCCGGGCUCAACCUGGGAACUGCAUCCAAAACUACUGAGCUAGAGUACG